GUAUGGAUUCAGCAGUCUGUAUGUGUGUAUGGAUUCAGCAGUCUGUAUGUGUGUAUGGACUCAGCAGUCUGUGUGUGUGUGUAUGGAUUCAGCAGUCUGUGUGUGUGUAUGGAUUCAGCAGUGUAUGUGUAUGGAUUCAGCAGUGUGUGUGUAUGGACUCAGCAGUGUGUGUGUAUGGACUCAGCAGUCUGUAUGUGUGUAUGGACUCAGCAG